GGUCCAUUAGCUCAGCCGGUUAGAGCGUUCGACUUAUAAUCGAAAGGUCCGGUGUUCAAGUCACCGAUGGACUACCA
rnacentral:tRNA from 1 species